CUGUGGAGCUAACCUCCAGCACUGUCCACAUGGCACUUGGUGGGAUGUCAGCCUCUGUGGCCUCUCGUCGGACGUAGGUCUCAAUGGCUACCUGGAGCAGAAUUGAAAAUUCCCUCGUCGUAGUGUCUUCUCCGCUGUAGAGCUCUGUUUGCGCGUCGUCGACCUCUAGGUUUAUCUCACCAAUGGGUAGGCCCAUCGUGUCCGUGCGCCAUCCACGUCUUCCAUUUCCAAGUAUGUCUAGGCAACGACACCAAAUGUUUGCCACAUACGGGUAAACAAUUAAAUGCAGAAAGUAAAUGCACAGAACAUAAUGGAAAUAUAUUAAAUAACCAGUCUCUGUAUUAAUUCAACAGUCCAUGUACAUCAAGUGUUUAUAACAUUACACCCAGAUACGACUAUCAUGAUGAUACUAAGAAGGAACGGUAUGCAAUAUAUAAUACCCGAAGGGGUGCGACCAACCGUCAUGUCCAACUGCCCUUCAGGACGACUAACUAACUGACUGUCGUAACUCAUUAUUACCGACGACAACAUAAACAUAAUAUGACAACAUAACAUAAUGAUUAUUCCCGGCAACAUGGACUAUAUGGUAUCCUGUUGAACAAUGUACAACUCCUUGGAUAUUUGAUUUGGCAAAGUUCAUUGAUGUUGGUAUACAGGUUCAGUGAUACAGGUUGAAGGUAUAUGGUUUAUUGUGUUGACAUGUUCAGAAUUUGGUUUACAUAUGACAGUGAUAGCAUGAUUCUUUAUUGGUAUAUCUUUACAACAGUUUGUCUGUUUGGUACAUCCUCUUGCAUUGCUCAGUUACUAGGUACACUGACAUUAUAGAUAGAGAUAGAGACAUUGAUUCUUGAUAACACUGAUAUUGACUUUAUGUUAUUAUUGGCAUUCAUAUUACAAGGUUAAGGGCUACUUGGUGGCAUUUCAUGUUGAUUCACAUUGGCACUCAUGAUGUUGGUAUAGUGACUAUAGUUGGUUGAUAUGUUAUUAGUGACAUUAAUGUCAAACAUCUCAAGGUAAUAUGGUGCAUUUUCUAAUUGUUACAUUUCAAUAUCACAUUGGUUCCUUGUGAUAUCCUUGGGAUAUAUUACUGAGAAUUUGUCACUUUACAAUUCGGAAAGGUUGUCGUUACAUGUGUAAAGGUUCUUGCAUUUGGUUACAUAGUUAUGUGCAAAAGCCAUGGGAUAAUGUCUAAAUGCAAUAUUCAUAAGACAUAUUUUAUAAGCCUAAGAUGUUGAAAAUGUUGAAUGAGUUAUAGUCACUUUAAGUGACUAGGUGGUGGGUAUGAUAUUUAAAACUUAUUAAAAUCUUUCCCACCGAAAUGCACCUUAAGUGGAAGUGAUUUGAGCGGCACUUUAUAUGUACCUAAGUCGUUUGUGUAAACGGCAAAAUCAAGGGUUCAAGCUUAUUUUGUAUUUCAUUAUAUUUGGCUCAUUUGUGCCAGCCCUCGAAACUAGGGCACAGUUUCAAUAGUUAGGGCUUCUUACUACCAUACUGAUACAGUGUGGAUGGAGAGAGAUGGAACAGAUUUUUUAUAGACGGUUACAGGAUGAUAGUUUGGCUUGGCAUUAGCAGUUUGAGGAAAUUUCGUUGUGGAAAGAGAAUAAUGCAUUAACAGGUGUUUCGUUUCCUUAAUCCCUUUUCUUGUUUGUCAAAUCUGAAAGAGUUUAUUGGUUGUGUUAACAGUUUUUAUCUCUGUUUGGUGUAAAGGGUUUGUAUUAACAUUUUGUUUCGAAAAGGGGCUUUUUGUCUAUUAAAUCAGUAAAAUUGUUAAUGUUUUCUUUCUAAGAAAGGGUUUCUCCUGUGCAGUAACAGUUUCUUGUUAAGGAAUGGUGUUUUAAAUUUUGUUUUGAAAAACCCUUGUUAGAGUAUGUAUGAGAAAGAGGUAAACCCUAGUUAAGGGUAUUUGAAAGAUUUAAAUAAUGCUUAGUUUCAGUAUCAUAUGCAAAUAUUUUUAUAGUCUGUUAACCCUAUCAUAGUAGGUUAAAGGUUUAAUUCUCAAACCAAGGUUUCCAACCCUAUUCAAGGGUUAGUCAUACACUGUCUUUCCUUUGUAUCAUUGUGGGUAUUCAUUCUCUUGUUAACCCUGUGUAUACUUGAGCAGGUAUUUUCUAUUGUUAGCAGAUAAUAGAACUCUUUUUCAGUUUCAAACAAGAUUUUGUUAAUGACAGUUAAGAUGAAAUCAGUUGGUUUUUGAUCUACAGUUUUGAACAAUGGCAGAUUUUCUACGUGUUGACAAAAGACAUUUUAUAUGCAUUGUGUGGAAGGCUUUCUUGGAGAUAGAGUAUGAAGUUGGCUUAACCAGAUUUAUCAUCUUGUUGUUUAGUACACAGACUUUUGUUUUCACAGAGAUAUCAUUGUGAUGAAUUACUUAGAUUGAAUCAGAUUUGUGAAAUAUUAUUGAAUAUCAAAUUAGUCUCUCGUAUAGUUCUAUAUAGUAUACUACUGUGCAUUUCUUCUAUAUGCAUGUUAGUGUUGUGUAUGUGAACAAAUUAUUCUCUGCAUGAUACUACUGUGUUUGUAUAUGUACAUGUACAAUGGUAUCUUGUAUUUGAACACCGAGAUGUUGUACAAUUGCUUCUAAUUCUCAUAUGAGAUUAGAAGAUGAUAAGAAGUGAAACAAAGCAGAAACUCUGUAUGUAAAUUUAGUCAAAUUUGUUGUGAAAAGUGUUGAUCAUCCAGUGAGGCAUUGAAAAAGACUAUCAGUGUGAUAGCAUUGUCAGUGAGACAUACAAAUAGCCAAUGAGGCAAUUUUUGAGUGGUUUUAUUCUCCAAGAGAGUUUCCACUUAGGACAUAUCAUUGUGUCAUAUUCUUGUGUAUGUUUUGUCUAUUAUGCUAUCUAUUCUAUUUGUUUUACAUUGCUCAAGUUUGUCAAAGUCUAUCUAUUCUAUUUACUUACAUUGCUCAAGUUUGUCAAAGUUUGAAAAGAUCUUAAAAAGUAAGAAAUUGUGUAUGAACACUGAUUCACCCCCUCCCCCCUCUCAGUGUUCAUUGUACUCCAACAUAGGUCACCACUAAACAUUCUGGUGGUGGGAAGGAAUGAUAAGUGGACCAAAUAAAAAUGUUCUUCAUCGAAAACAUCAACACAUUACAUACAUUGCCAAAGCCAGACCCAAAACAUUAUCCACACGCUAUACAACUUUCGUUACACAACUUCAAGGUUCAGACCAAAAUCCUCGAUUUCUGGAUCAAUACGGACCCAAAAAUAGCAUUGAGUAGUAUCAACAACACAUCUUCCAAAAAUCUAAGACAUCCGUGAAAUCUCCAAAUGCCCAACAACAUCUCAUACAAACACUGUUGCUCAACAUACCACAUCCGGACCUAAUCCAGACCACAAGAUUCGACACGAAUGGCAACAUAUAGCAUAAUGCUAACACUACCAGUUUUUGUGGUCUCAAGAUGAGGUUUGAUUAGGUUUCCAGGUCGAUUCCAGAUGCAACAAGUACAGUUUAGUCACUUUUGCAGAAGUUUGAAAAUGCACUAUCUGAUGAUCCUUAGUUUUGUUCUUCGGAUUCAAAUUCACUUGGGUUCAUUCUCAGUACCAGUUUGAAAAGGUUUGAUGGCAGUUGUCAAAAAAAAAAAAAAAAUCAGCCGGGUCCACAAGGGAACCCAAUUGGUCUCACAGCCAUUACAGUAUCAUUCUUGAGCUUGAUUUUAAUACUUUGUUUAAAUCAUCCUAUGAUUUAAAUGGUUAUGUGGUUUAUUGUUUUAGGGGAAGAUCAAAAGUGAUUUUCAAAAUCAUAAAUCAUAUCACGACUUACAUGUAUUUGGUGGGGCCCAUGCACGAAGAAAGGAGAAGCUUUAAUAAAAGGUUAUAUUUAAUCGUUGUAUAAUAACGAGGUGAAAUAUUUCUUCCAGCAUUUAUAUGACAGUCAAAUUUCACAUUGAUUGAAGGAAUAAAGGAUAAAACUCAUUGGUGGAAUAUAGUCCCCUCAAUAUGAGUUACAACAACAAAAGGACCCAACAUGCACUUGAGAACUAUCUUAAAUUCAAUUCCAAAUCUUUAUUAAUUAAAUCACUUUGAUUUAAGAAGUGAUAAUUUGUUUAAAGAUACAAUGACUCCAUGUUUUCCGAGAGUCCAGGAGUGAUAUUCGAAGUCAGAUGAAAGGUCAUUGAAAUCAUUCUAAAAUGAUUUAAAUUCAUUAUUGAUACAUUUGACAAGAUUAAAAGGAGGAAAUAUAUAUAUAUAUAAAAGAGUGAAAUGAAAACUAUUUAAAAUCAUUAUGCAUAUUGAUAAAGUCUAAUUGACGAAUGAUGCAUGGCAAACCUAUAUUGUGGGCCCCCUAUCCUAUUCACACGUUUGGCACAACAAAGUUCAAAUAGACUUUAAAAAAGUCUCAUCAAGGUCUAUUGUCUCCUUGAUGAAAAUAUGCAUCGAAGAGACAAUUAAAACACCGAUGAGAGAAGAAAACUGUCACGUUGAUGCUAAUGUCUCCUUGAAGCAGUCACCGGUUAGGAGGGACCUCAAAGAGAUCAAUCUGGACCGGUCAGCAAGAGUAACACAACGGAAAGACAAAGAUAUGAUGGAGGCAAUGCAUAACAGAUUGUAUUAUAACAUGAAAAUUGAUUACAACCAACCGGUAACAACCGGGUUACAAAAUAUUAAUAAAAAAGUUUAGUGGAAUAAUCCACUUUUAUUGAAAAAAAACAAAAAAAACAACCGGGUUACAAAAUUCGGCUCACAAGCCUGCUAGAACAUGCUCAAAAUACAAAAUAGGUUACAACCGGGACCUUCAAUCUUAAGAUCUAUCUUCUAUGCUCAGUCUAGCUACCUGAUUAUUCGAUUGUUCCAUUCUAAUGCGCAAUUACAAUUAUAUAUACGAUCCAAGGGGAUCCGGUCAGCCCAAAAAGGGAUCAAAACCCAAAGAACAAGACCUAACGUGUAAAACCAACAAGGUCAGCCUCCGCCAAGAGAUUCUUCCGGAAAAUCCAAAGGAUGAAGUGUAGAUCGCAGGAAAAGAGUUGGCCACACGCCAAGGGACAUCAGAAUCAACACCCAAGGCUCCACAAGCUUCGGAAGGGGUUCCUGUAGAUCACCAAAAUAGGUCCAGGCAACCGGUAACAAGAAACUAUCAACCGGUAACAGGAAACUAUCAAGAAAACCGAUAGCGAUAACUUGCCGGAAAAUGAUCCAAAUGCGAUGUGGUCUGAAAAUAAGAAAGAUGAUCAAGUGUUCAAGUAGAAUCUAGCUCCACAGAAUCCGGUGAGCCAAAACCGGGACACAGAAAGAAAUGCUGAAACUGCAAACGAAAAGAAAAUGUUUUUGGUUGAUACAAGAUUGCUAUGAACCGGGGAUGCUCCUGCAUCACUCCUCGAUGAAGGAAAUGAGAAACCCUAAAACGUCAAACUGUGAGCUCUAGAACAUGCUAUGGUCAUCCUUCGAUCGAUGGGGGAUUAUUGUCAGAUGUUGCAGUUGCAACUGCCUUGGAAGACAUGUAUGCACAAUAUGCGCGUAAAGCUAUCCAUCAAAGUACAAAGGAUAGAGAAUGUUUGCCAAAUGUCCACGAACGGUGGAAACAUCAGCAAGGCGCAUGAACUAUUUGAACAAUGCCUCGAAGCAAUACAGUCUCAUGGACUUGCUAAAAGGUUUUUGAAGACUUCGAAGAAAAUGUGAUUGACAGGUAAGAAGCUAAAUUCCACAACCGCUGCCAGCAUUAAUUUCUCUGUGUGCUCAAUAGGAGCUUUAGGACAGCAUAUGGACAUCCAUCAACGUAUAAAGAACAGAGAUUUUUUGCUAGAUGUUACGAUUGAAAAUGUCAUGGUAGAUAUGUUUGUAAAAUGAGGAAAUAAGGAUAAGACUUACAAUGUAUUUUGCGGAUUGCCUCAAUAUGGUCGUGUGGAAUGCCAUAAUUGCAAUGACUUUAGAAGCUUAGAAGAACAUACAAUUGGUAAUUGAAAAAUAAAUUCCAUAAUGUUUUCCAUCAUUCAUAGUGCCUGCGCCAGAAUGAGAUAUUUGAAACAUUAAAUGAGCAUCCACUGGAGCACAGUGAAAAGUAGAUUUUUGCCUUCGUAGACUUGUAUGCAAAUUGUGGAAGUAUUGAACAAGCAUAUGGACCUUCGCCAAAAUGCCUCAUGGAAAUACAUUAUAAAUAGCGUAUCGAAGACACUCAUAAAAUUUCUAGUCAUUGAUGCCAUAAAGUCUCCUCGAUGAGUAAGAAGAUUACCAAAGCAGAUAAUUAUCGGAGAGACAAUUAAAUUGUCUCCUCGAUUAUAGUUCUCUUCAACGAAGGGAGAAACCCUAAGUCAUCAAAUACAUCGACACGUGCAACGCAAGGACUGUAGAAUAAAUGAUUUGUUGAAAAGACUUUAGAAACUUUCAGCAAAUGCAAUCGGCAGGUAUAAAGGCAGAAUCCUCAUCUGUUGCUGGUAUUUCCCAGUGCAUGUCAAAAUUGAAGCUUCAGAACGAGUACGUGCCUUGGAAUAGGUUAUCAAAACAUGUUGUUGAUAGGGAGAUUUUUGUCAUGUAUUAUGGUUGCAAACGCUUUGGAAGAAAAUGCACGCAAGCUGCAGAAGCAUAAGCAUAAGCAUGACACAUGAACUCUUGACAAAAUGUGUCAAAGAGAUGUUGACUUAAGGAAUGAAAUGAGUGAUUGCAGAAUGUGCACAAUAUGGAAUUCGCAAGGAGAUUCUUAAAACCUUAGAAUCAAUGGAGCACUCUAGAUAUUUUUAGGAUUCCUGUCAUACCUGUGGUGGUAGUAUGGACGUGUUUUCUUGCUGCCUAUAGAUCAUAUAUGAAUAUGGGCUAAGUAUUUCCAAAACUGCUUUUAGUUAUGAAUAUGGGCUAAGUAUUUCCAAAACUGCUUUUAGUUGGAUCCUAAAAAUGCUGCAAGUUAUAUCUUCUCUGAAACAUCUAUGCAAAAGUGGGCAGGUGUGUGAGGAUCGAAUAGUAAGGAGAUUAAUGAAAGACAAAGGAGAUAAAAGAUUGAUAUAAUCAUAUUAAAAAUAACAAGAUGGCACAUAGUUUUGUGUUGAUGGCCUAUCACCAAGAAAAAUCUUAAUAUGCACAGAAAGGCUAAAUUUUUAUUAUGGUGGACUUGCUCUUCUAAAGGUAUAAUUGCGGCUUCAAAAGAUAAGGGAAUGAUAAAAAGGAUAAAGAAUUUUUGCACAAAAUAAACUGGUGGAUGAAUUUAGAGAGGAGCUUGGGCGAAAUUCAUUUCACAUGAGGAGUGAAAUAUCCGAGGGAAAGAGUAAAUUGAUAAUUAUUUUUUAAAUGAAACUAAAGGGAGAAAAUGUUUCAUCGAAGGAAUGUAAUAGUGAAAUGUAGAAUGCUUCACCCAGGAAGUGAAUAUUUUUAACGAUAAGUAUUUUCAUAUAGUGAUCUUAUAAUGAAGUGAUUUUGAAUCACGAUAGCUCAAAUCAUGGUAACGUGGUAAUUUCUUAUGUGUGAAUAUCAUUUAUGAGAGUAAAAUAAAAAAAUAUCAAAUUAAUAACAAAGUGAACUAAAUAUUUUUUUAUUUAAAGUAGUUGUACGAGUUUUGUUAAUAAAAUUUGUGAUGGUGUGAAGCACUCUCUUAACUUUAUAAAAGAGAAAUCAGGAUCGAGGAAAAAAAAAAAAGAGAUAAGAAGUAGAAUAAAAAUUAGAAUUGGAAUGAGAAUAAAGAAUCAAUUAUAUGUAUAGUCCUUUUUAAAAUGAAGCAAUGGAAGUAAUAAUUCAACCGGCGUUUCAAUAGUUGAUGUUCAGUUGUUGUAUUGUAAUCAUUAAUAAAUUAUUAUUUGGUUGUCUCCAACUUAGGUUUUUCUUAUCAUUUAAGCCAAUAUAUUAAGGAUAUACUUUGGCUUAUCAAAACACAUUUGUUGUUCUUGUGAGAUUCAUUAUGAUUGGCUCCUGUAAGGCAGUUUUUAACUCAUUCAGAUAAGUCCUAGUGAUAGGAAGAAUUUAUUUUGGAUUGUUAAAGAAGAGCCUGAUAAUAAGAAUUUCCAACAUAUCUGUGUAAGGCACUGAUAGUCAAAGUGCUUAAUAACUUGAGUUAAGCCAAUCAAAGGAGACAUAAAUAUCAUUUUGACUCCAUUGCCCAAUGGAUAUAAGGCACUUAUCAUUAAAACCUUAAAAGGACAAAUUCCUAAAACAUUCAUUUAUAUACAUUUUCAAUUUCAUGUUGUAGAAGUAGGAGUACGAGUUAGUUUGUAAAUAAUUAUCUAUUUUAGAUAUUCAUGCCAUUUUGAAGUAGAGGCUAAUUGAAAGUUUUAUAGAAAGUUAUAAUAUGCUUGGUCAUUAAAAGGUACACCCGCCUAGGCAAAGAAAAGCCUAAAGUGUUGGAGAGUUUUGAUCAUUUUUAUCAAUCUCGUUCUUUGGCCAAAAUCGAUGUUGAACUUGAUUAUAAAUCUUGGCAUACUUUUAGGGUUUGACAACCUACGGUUUUGGGAACCAACAUGAGGAAUACCUUAGGAUAGACCUAGGGCAAUUUGAGUGGUACAAGGUCCAUAUGUUCCCCCUCCUAUUCCUCUCCCACCUCCUAUACAAUAUCCAUACAAUUUUGUCAAUGUAGCUCCAUAGAGAAUCACGAACAUACACUCUCUAACUCGUCAUUUGAUCAUCAAGUGCUCUCAAUUUUCUUAGUCCGCUGACCUUUAUAUGUCAAAUGGAUUAGUUGAUGGCGGUGUGCCCUCAUCAUCUCCACACAUUUGUGUGCCACAUGCUUGCACUAUGUGCAAGUGCACAUGUUUGGGCCCUCUCUGAAAUUAUAUUGAGUCUCACAUCGACACAAUCAAGUAUGAGGUCCAUCACAUGUCACAUGUAGGAGAUGAGAUGAAAGAGGCGAGAGCAUAUGUUGGAGAGUCAUCUGGUGCCAAAGUUGAAACACCGGUAAGACUUAACUUGUAAUUUUACAGUACAUAAAAUAAUUUUAAAAAUUAAUAUUUAUAAGAGAUAUUAAUACUAAUAUGUAUAUUUAUAUAUAGGAUAUAAUAGUUGAUGUCUAAGGAUUAUUUGAGACAAGUCCAUCAAUGCACCAUGACAACCAUUCCAUUUGGCCUAAAGAGCUAUAUAGUAUAGCUUUUUGUACUUACAUGUUUACAAAUUUUAUAUUGUAUAUGCAUAUUUCAUUUAAAUUGACAUUAAAUAAACUAUAUAUUAAUAUAUAUGUGUCGAUCUCAUUUUUCUCUUGUGAGUAAGGUGCCACAUUUCCUAGCCUCCAACACCACAACUACUGUUCAAAGAAAGGUAAUUUUGUUGAGUUAUUAGUUUCAAGAGCUUACAUGUAAUUUACAUAGCUUAUUGUAGCAUUCAAUUUAGAUGUUAACUUUUUAAUUGUAUUAAAUGAUUAUACAUUGCAUAGAUUGAUUGUCUCACAUUCUUGUCAUUUUCAUAUACUAACCAAUUGACUUUACAUCAAUGUUAAAUGUUCUCGACACUGUUGACUUAACAAUGCAAGAGUCCUUUACCCAAGUUGACACUGUCAUGGAGCAUCAACCAAUGGUAUAUUCUAGGACUCCUGAUCAUCAUAGGGGAGCACCAUAUGUGGAUCAUUUUUCAAGGAAAAUACUAAUAGAUUAGUCAUCUCCAAAUGCACAAAGUACUUUGAAGAGGUUCCAUUUGACAAUCUACCAAUAGUUUAGGAUUUUCUAGAGAUGUAUAGCAUCACUUUGUAUCCAUAUGGCAUAUGUCACAUAUUGUAUUUAGAUCUAUAUGGCAUAUGCCAUAUUUUGUAUUUGGAUCUUUAUGGCAUAUGCCACAUUUUGUAUAAAUUUUG